rnacentral:lncRNA from 1 species
GCGUCGUCGCGGUUGAUAAAAAAGCUUCGUUGAGUAGAGUAGCCCGGGCGUGAGCGGACGUCAGUAUUGUAAGUAAUUCCGUGCGAUAUCGCGGGAUUUGUUAAGCACAAAGUUUAAUUAGGGAUGAGUGAACUUGUAGGUCGAUCGAACUAGCAGUAGGGAGAAAAAAAUAAAAAAAGGUGAAAAAAAUCGAGGGCAAGUCGGGAGAUAACUUAAGGAUAUUACUCGUGUGCUAUUUAGUGUCUUUAUCUUUGUCUUUGCAAUGGGUAAAAGCUGCUUGCCCUUACAGGGAUUGCUUAGUGUGCUUGCGCAUCUUCUAAAAAAUUGAGUACAGUGGAAGGUGUGAGGGUGCAGAGAGAAACUGUGAGAUAAUAUAGACGAUGCCAAGACCACGCCUCUUGUCUAAGGUUACCCCACUCUGUUGGCGAAUUCUCCCACCGCUGAUGCUAACUUGUGGAUACUACGAGAUUUCAUGGUGGGCAACUCCGGGUGCAUCCUAGGGCCGAUAGUAAGAGAAGGAUUAUAAAGCGAAGAGAGAAAGAGAAAGUACUCAUAGGUCGGGUGCUUUAGCUUGAGGCUGUUAAACACGGUGGGUCUUAUCGGUAAAACUGUUCUAUACGGAAUAGCAGCCGUCCAGCCAUUGGCCACUAGAAUAUCUACCUUAUAUGUUUCUCUCAUCAUGCAAAACACACACACACACACACACACACACACACACACACACACACAUUUACCUAUGAACAUGUAUAUGUAUAUGUUCUUUAUACGUUUGUAUGCAUAUGAGUAAAACCGUUUGAACGUGUAUCUCUUGAGAGCUUAGCAAUGUACUAAAGUGCAACUACGUCAUGGAUGAGUGUCUUGUUGUAUACCUUUAUACAGGUUGUAUUUGCACCAAAGUCAAACUAAACUUUCUCGAUUACUAUCGUAAAAAUCAAAUAUAUAAGAUAUUUAUCUAUGACUUUAUCUACUUGUUUAUUUGUUUAUUAAUAGAGCGAAUUUUUGCAAUUUGCAUAAAUAUAUAAGACAGAUAUUUAUUAAUAACGAUAAUAUUUAUAUGAUAUUGAUUAAUAAAAAGAUGUAAAAUACCUGUACAUUAAGAUUUUCGUUAUUCAACAAGCUUGUUUUUUUUUCUUGCAGCGCCCUCUAAAUUUUUAGCUUUUCGACGAUAUAUUUCCAAUUUAAAUAACAUAGUGUUUUGUGACUUUUGACAUUUAAUUUUUUCCCUCCUAAGCAACCAAAUCUAUACAAGUAAAAGAUACAUAUUCUCGUAGGAAAUUAAAUUCUUUACAAAACAGAUUUCCUAUAAUUUUUCGAUAAAUUCAAUUCUUUGAAAGAUACUAAAGGUUAAAAUGAUAAAAAGUUGAACUUACAAUUUUUUUUUAGGUCAUAAGCUGAAAAUUUAGAGGACGCUGUAAGAAAAAAACAAACUUGGUAAAUAACGGACACUUUAAAUAGACAUGAAUUUUAGAAGGUAA